rnacentral:rRNA from 1 species
AGUCACUGACAUUAGAUACCCGGGUAGUCCCAGCCGUAAACAAUGUGCGUUAGGUGUGUCGGUAACCACGUGUUACUGAUGCGCCGAAGAGAAAUCGUGAAACGCACCACCUGGGAAGUACGGUCGCAAGGCUGAAACUUAAAGGAAUCGGCGGGGGAGCACCACAACAGGUGGAGCCUGCGGUUUAAUUGGAUUCAACGCCGGACAUCUCACCGGAUAAGACAGCUGAAUGAUUGUCAAUCUGAAGGUUUUACAUGACUAGCUG